UGUCUUCUGCUCUACGCUGCUACAUCUAGUUGCAUUGUGACUUCUGUUUCAGGGAAAUGCAGCAUGAUGUAGUGGUGUAGCUCAGCAAGACCA
rnacentral:pre_miRNA from 1 species